rnacentral:tRNA from 13 species
UUCUCACACCGGGAAUUGAGCCCGGGCCUCCUGGGUGAGAGCCAGGUAUCCUAACCACUAGACCAUAUAGGA